UUUCCGCUGCAUGUGAGGCAAUUCCAUCUAGCUAGAGGUAUUGUCUCUGGGAUAACAAGAACGAAAAGGACAGAACAGUUUUUUCACCAGUUUAGGGUUAGAACAACAGAGCGUCUCUGCUUGAAGUAUGCAUCAGGUUGAAGGAAAACUCCUAAAUGUUAUCCACACUUCAACGGGUCUUUUAUAGGAAGAAUCUUGCAGGCAACCAAUAAGUCAACGUGGGAUUCUGAGCAGAUAAGCUCCUGUGUGAAGUGCCUUGAGAGGAAGAUCAUUGCUCAAGCUCUGUCUUGUUUGAUGAAUGCCUGGAAAUCCGCCAUCAAAUAGUGGAUAUGGCACAACUUAUCCCUUCACCUGCUGAUGGACAUUUGGAUUAUUUCCAGCGAUUGGCUACGGUUGCUCUGAACAUUCAUGUACAAG